AAGUCGUAACAAGGUUUCCGUAGGUGAACCUGCGGAAGGAUCAUUAUUGAAUAAACCUGAUGUGGUUGUUGCUGGCUCUCUCGGGAGUAUGUGCACACCCGUCAUCUUUAUAUUUCCACCUGUGCACCUUUUGUAGACCCAGGACGCUUUAACAAGUUGAAUGGGCCUAUGUUUUAUCAUAUACACCAAGUAUGUAACUGAAUGUAUCAAUGGGCUUUGAUGCCUAUAAACAUCAUACAACUUUCAGCAACGGAUCUCUUGGCUCUC
rnacentral:misc_RNA from 1 species